GAGGUGGGCAAGUUAGUUGCUCCAAAUACAAGAUAAAGUGAUUGAGUUCUUUUCUCAAGCGGGAGUCGGAGUUUAUCCACUCUUAGAGCCCCAGCAGCUACUAUUAAUGAGUGUCUGGAAUAUGUUCCUGGCAUUUCACCUACACUCUCUCCAAUCCUUCCAAGAAACUCACAAAGCAGGGCUUUUUCUUGAACUUCUCUUCCUCACAACAGUUAAAUCAUCCAUUUAAAGAUGUCAGACAAGCUCUGUGUUCUAAGGACACAGCAUGUACAACCUCACAUAGAGUUCCUGACCAGACAAGACUCGCUGGAAAUUUCCCAGGAUCUUCCUUCCUUAAGCAUCCAUCAUGGGAAGCCACCUUGCCCUAGGGAGAGCUCCUGACCUAGGGUGGUUAGAAAAUAUUAAGGAAGACAGCAAUUAAUAAAUUCAAAAAUAAUAAUAAUUACAAAUUGGGAAGCCAGUUGCCAUGUCAUGAGGACACUCAAGCAGGCCUAUGGAGAGGCUCACAAGGAGAGGGACAGAGCUCCCCUGCCAACAGACAGCACUAACUUGCUGACAGUGAGAGUAAGCCACUUUGGAAGAGGAUCCUCCCUCCAGCCCCAGUCAAGCCUUCAGAUUCCUGCAGUUCUAACUGACAUCUGACUGCAACCACAUCAAUGGCCCCUCCCUUCCAUCACUUAAGCAGUGUGAGCUAUCCAGCCUAGCUCUUCCUAGACUCCUGACCAACAGAAAAAGUGAGAGAAAAUAAAUGAUUAUUGUUUUAACCCA
rnacentral:antisense_RNA from 1 species